GCUCUACAACCCUUUGUGAACAUACCUAUAACUGUUGCUUCGGCGGGUAGGGUCUCCGUGACCCUCCCGGCCUCCCGCCCCCGGGCGGGUCGGCGCCCGCCGGAGGAUAACCAAACUCUGAUUUAACGACGUUUCUUCUGAGUGGUACAAGCAAAUAAUCAAAACUUUUAACAACGGAUCUCUUGGUUCUGGCAUCGAUGAAGAACGCAGCGAAAUGCGAUAAGUAAUGUGAAUUGCAGAAUUCAGUGAAUCAUCGAAUCUUUGAACGCACAUUGCGCCCGCCAGCAUUCUGGCGGGCAUGCCUGUUCGAGCGUCAUUUCAACCCUCAAGCUCUGCUUGGUGUUGGGGCCCUACAGCUGAUGUAGGCCCUCAAAGGUAGUGGCGGACCCUCCCGGAGCCUCCUUUGCGUAGUAACUUUACGUCUCGCACUGGGAUCCGGAGGGACUCUUGCCGUAAAACCCCCAAUUUUCCAAAGGUUGACCUCGGAUCAGGUAGGAAUACCCGCUGAACUUAAGCAUAUCAAUAAGCGGAGGAAAAGAAACCAACAGGGAUUGCCUCAGUAACGGCGAGUGAAGCGGCAACAGCUCAAAUUUGAAAUCUGGCCCUAGGCCCGAGUUGUAAUUUGCAGAGGAUGCUUUUGGUGCGGUGCCUUCCAAGUUCCCUAGAACGGGACGCCAGAGAGGGUGAGAGCCCCGUACAGUUGGACACCAAGCCUUUGUAAAGCUCCUUCGACGAGUCGAGUAGUUUGGGAAUGCUGCUCAAAAUGGGAGGUAUAUUUCUUCUAAAGCUAAAUACCGGCCAGAGACCGAUAGCGCACAAGUAGAGUGAUCGAAAGAUGAAAAGCACUUUGAAAAGAGGGUUAAACAGCACGUGAAAUUGUUAAAAGGGAAGCGCUUGUGACCAGACUUGCGUCCGGUGAAUCACCCAGCUCUCGCGGCUGGGGCACUUCGCCGGCUCAGGCCAGCAUCAGCUCGCUGUCGGGGACAAAAGCUUCAGGAACGUAGCUCUCUUCGGGGAGUGUUAUAGCCUGUUGCAUAAUACCCU
rnacentral:misc_RNA from 1 species